rnacentral:rRNA from 1 species
UGGGGAAUAUUGGGCAAUGGGGGAAACCCUGACCCAGCAACGCCGCGUGAGGGAAGAAGGCUUUCGGGUUGUAAACCUCUGUCGCAGGGGAAGAAACAAAUGACGGUACCCUGUGAGGAAGCCCCGGCUAACUACGUGCCAGCAGCCGCGGUAAUACGUAGGGGGCGAGCGUUGUCCGGAAUUACUGGGCGUAAAGGGUGCAUAGGUGGCAAUUUAAGUUGGAUGUGAAAUCCCCGGGCUUAACCUGGGUGGUGCAUUCAAAACUGGAUAGCUAGAGUGCAGGAGAGGGAAGCGGAAUUCCUAGUGUAGCGGUGAAAUGCGUAGAUAUUAGGAGGAACACCAGUGGCGAAGGCGGCUUUCUGGACUGUAACUGACACUGAGGCACGAAAGCGUGGGGAGCAAACAGGAUUAGAUACCCUGGUAGUCCACGCUGUAAACGAUGAAUACUAGGUGUAGGGGGUAUGAACUCCCCCUGUGCCGCAGCUAACGCAAUAAGUAUUCCGCCUGGGGAGUACGGCCGCAAGGUUG